rnacentral:tRNA from 15 species
GCCGAUGUAGCUCAGUUGGAAGAGUACUUUCUUGGUAAGAAAGAGGUCACGGGUUCAACCCCCGUCAUUGGCUCUA